rnacentral:lncRNA from 1 species
CGCCCCCCUGUGAUGGGAGAGAGGCUGAGGGCUGCACCGGCUGCUGCGAUGAUGCUUGUUGCUGCAUGCGAUCCUGAAGGCUUCGUGCUUUUCGAAUACUGAUUUGCAACUUCUUAUCGACUAGGGCUCUGCUGUGCGUGCUAGAGCUGGCAUCAUGCAGGCUCCUGUUCCUGGGCUCGCCUGACCACUUCUUCCUGUAGUUCAUCCAAUUCACUUCUAGAGGUGACCUCCCCAUCUGAGAUAGAAGCAAAGAAGAUCAAUUACCACACCUCCAGAAUCAAGGCGAAUUAUCUGUUAACCUUAUGGUCACGAUGCCAUUUUCCCUUGGAGCUCUCGCUUUCCAGUUUGUUUCAGAUCCCUUUUCAUUAGAAACAGAGAGAGCAGCACAGGCCACGAAUAGUGACGGUGUUUACAGCAUGUAUAUUUUCAAUAUCUCAUGAAUACUAACAGUGUAACUC